rnacentral:rRNA from 1 species
AUUGAACGCUGGCGGCAGGCCUAACACAUGCAAGUCGAGCGAGCGGCGGACGGGUGAGUAAUGUCUGGGAAACUGCCUGAUGGAGGGGGAUAACUACUGGAAACGGUUGCUAAUACCGCAUACCAUCAGAUGUGCCCAGAUGGGAUUAGCUAGUAGGUGGGGUAAUGGCUCACCUAGGCGACGAUCCCUAGCUGGUCUGAGAGGAUGACCAGCCACACGGGAACGGAGACACGGUCCAGACUCCCACGGGAGGCAGCAGUGGGGAAUAUCGCACAAUGGGCGCAAGCCUGAUGCAGCCAUGCCGCGUGUGUGAAGAAGGCCUUCGGGUUGUAAAGCACGUUCAGCGGGGAGGCGUUACCCGCAGAAGAAGCAACGGCUAACUCCGUGCCAGCAGCCGCGGUAAUUC